rnacentral:rRNA from 1 species
GCGAACGCUGGCGGCAGGCUUAACACAUGCAAGUCGAACGGGCAUAGCAAUAUGUCAGUGGCAGACGGGUGAGUAACGCGUGGGAACGUACCUUUUGGUUCGGAACAACACAGGGAAACUUGUGCUAAUACCGGAUAAGCCCUUACGGGGAAAGAUUUAUCGCCGAAAGAUCGGCCCGCGUCUGAUUAGCUAGUUGGUAGGGUAAUGGCCUACCAAGGCGACGAUCAGUAGCUGGUCUGAGAGGAUGAUCAGCCACAUUGGGACUGAGACACGGCCCAAACUCCUACGGGAGGCAGCAGUGGGGAAUAUUGGGCAAUGGGCGAAAGCCUGAUCCAGCCAUGCCGCGUGAGUGAUGAAGGCCCUAGGGUUGUAAAGCUCUUUUGUGCGGGAAGAUAAUGACGGUACCGCAAGAAUAAGCCCCGGCUAACUUCGUG